CCUGUGUUUUCUCUGCUUGAUCCAGGAAAAGAAUAUGCCUUUCCUUUGGACGUUGGCUCUUUUAACCAUGAUGGUCUCAAGAGGGAGUCUUGGAUUACCAAUAAACCAGACAGAAGGCAUUGUGACUGUCACCGAAGGAAGCAGUGUCAUUCUCAAAUGUAACUACGAUUCAACAAUCUACUAUCUAUACUGGUAUAUUCAGCAUCCUGGCCAACCCCCCAAGCUCUUUCUGAAGGAUUUUCGCGAUCCCUCAGCUGAAGGGUCUGUCCAAGGUUUCCAUGCUCUGAAGGAUAAAGAACAGAGAAUUUUCAUCAUGGAGAAAGCUGCCAGCCAGAUGAGUGACUCUGCCGUCUAUUUCUGUGCUGGAGGAGCACAGUGAAGCGAAGCAGAAGAGAAACCAACCAAAAACCUGCAAAGGGAAAGAACUGAGAGUGGAGGAGAAACAGCAAUAAA